rnacentral:rRNA from 1 species
CAUUAAGUUGGGCACUCUAAGGUGACUGCCGGUGACAAACCGGAGGAAGGUGGGGAUGACGUCAAAUCAUCAUGCCCCUUAUGACCUGGGCUACACACGUGCUACAAUGGAUGGAACAAAGGGAAGCGAACCCGCGAGGUCAAGCAAAUCCCACAAAACCAUUCUCAGUUCGGAUUGUAGGCUGCAACUCGCCUACAUGAAGCCGGAAUCGCUAGUAAUCGCGGAUCAGCAUGCCGCGGUGAAUACGUUCCCGGGCCUUGUACACACCGCCCGUCACACCACGAGAGUUGGUAACACCGCGAAGUCGGUGAGGUAACCG